rnacentral:lncRNA from 1 species
CAAAGAGAAAACGCGUGAUUUUCUCUUAAAUGGGGGAUUGUCAGAGAGAAAACGCGUGAUUUUCGGUCUAAAUGGGGGAUUCUCGAAGAGAAAUCGCGUGAUUUUCGCUUAAAUGGGGGAUUCUUGAAGAGAAAACGUGUGAUUUUUGGGUUAAAUGGGGAAUUGUCGAAGAGAAAACGCGUGAUUUUUGCUUAAAUGGGGGAUUUGCGAAGAGAAAACGCGUGAUUUUUCGGUUAAAUGGGGGAUUCCCAAAGAGAAAACGCGUGAUUUUCGGCUUAAAUGGGGGAUUCUCGAAGAGAAAACGCGUGAUUUUCACUUAAGUGGGGGAUUCUCAAAGAAAAAACGCGUGAUUUUCUCUUAAAUGGGGGAUUCUCGAAGAGAAAACGCGUGAUUUUCACUAAAAUGGGGGAUUCUCGAAGAGAAAACGCGUGAUUUUCGGGUUUAAAUGGGGGAUUUGUGAAGAGAAAAUGCGUGAUUUUUGGGUUAAAUGGGGGAUUGUCGAAGAGAAAACGCGUGAUUUUUGCUUAUAUGGGGAAUUUCCGAAGAGAAAACGCGUGAUUUUUUGGUUAAAUGGGGGAUUGUCGAAGAGAAAACGCGUGAUUUUUGCUUAAAUGGGGAAUUUCCGAAGAGAAAACGCGUGAUUUUUGGGUCAAAUGGGGGAUUCUCGAAGAGCAAAUGCGUGAUUUUUUCGCUUAAAUGGGGGAUUGUCGAAGAGAAAACGCGUGAUUUUUGUGUUAAGUGGGGGAUUU